AAUUACAGAAAACUUCCCCACAAGUCUCAGGGAAUGCUGGUAGCUGGCUGGGCAUGUGGGGGUGCGGUGAUGAGUCAGCCCACAUCCCACCCAUCGGACGUCUUUGGGGCUCCCACCUGCUACGACACACUGGCUGGCUCCUCCCUCAGGAGCCAAGCAGCCCUGAGGGUAGGACCACUUCCCGGAAAGGCUCAGCAAGUGUGCUCUGCAUUCAGAAGCAGUGAAUUCUCAGGAUGGACGGGCCCCAUUUUACCAAGGGAAACACAGAAACUCAGAGACGGGGAGAGCCUUCCCCACGGUCACACAGCUGCCGGGAACCAGGAACGGGUCUCCAGACUCCCAGGUUCAGUGCUCAUUCACGCUGCCUACGCUCCCAGCCUCUCGCAGAAAAAGGCAGAAAGCAGAUUUCCCCACAGAUCCCGCCUGCCACACAGCUUUGAAAGUAAUUUCCAAGAAUCUCUGCAGAUCUCCAGCCCAGGCUCCAGGCCAAAUCUCCAAAUGAAAUCAGGCCGGGGAGAAAUGAACAACCGAGAUGCACAAAACAAUGUGAAGAAGAAACGAAUAAUAAUAUAAAAAAAAGGCCAGGAAGUGACAGGAUCACCUCUGCUCACAUCCCACGGGCUGGAACACGUCACCUGGCUACCUGCACGACAGGGAGGCUGGCAGCGUCGUGCAGCUGAAGAUCCAGGAAGAAAAGGAGAACGCAGAUGAGCCCUGCCCGUCUCCACAGUGCCCUGGUUCACACGGCCGACAACAGCGAAAUCCGUCCUUUGACCCGGGUUCUGACAGCAGUAAGUACUGUGCUUUGCCCUGCCAACCCUUUACUUUGAAGUGUUAAGCUUUUCCAACUGAGCAGUGUUCCCGUCUUUUUCGAGAUCUGAAAGUCCUUACGUUUAUAAGAAUAUCAUGAUAAUGGCCAUAAUAUCUCCCUAUCUGGUCUAUCUGCAC
rnacentral:lncRNA from 1 species